CAGUCGCCGCGGUAAUACAGAGGGUGCGAGCGUUAAUCGGAUUUACUGGGCGUAAAGCGUGCGUAGGCGGCUAAUUGAGUCGGAUGUGAAAUCAUCGAGCUUAACUUGGGAAUUGCAUUCGAUACUGGUUAGCUAGAGUGUGGGAGAGGAUGGUAGAAUUCCAGGUGUAGCGGUGAAAUGCGUAGAGAUCUGGAGGAAUACCGAUGGCGAAGGCAGCCAUCUGGCCUAACACUGACGCUGAGGUACGAAAGCAUGGGGAGCAAACAGGAUUAGAUACCCCUGUAGUCCCUGUCUCUUAUAC
rnacentral:rRNA from 1 species